ACUACAUUCAAUUGGUAUUUUGGCCCCAUCAAUGAGUUAAAAUUUUGAGCCAAACUUCAGACUUUUCAAAUAAGAUCCUGAAAUCAAGGCUGAAUUUUGGCAUCUCACGAAAAGCUUUGCUUGACUAAGAUACCAUACCCAGCCAAAUGGCAGGGUAUUGGCACUUGAACUGAAAACUUUCUGGAAGACAAACAUCCCUUCUGAGUACUUCAGACAGAAAGUAGCAACGAUACUUAACAUAUGUGAUUGCCAAAAGUGACCAAUUUUUCUUUACAUAUGGAGACAAUGAGAAGUUACUUCAAGCAACUCAACUAUGAAGAUACCAAAGGUGAUAAGUGGGGAAUUGAAGACUCCAAGGAAUUAAUGUACCCCAGAGUAAG
rnacentral:lncRNA from 1 species